CCCCCCAGCCAUCCCAUAAUAACCCCACAUGACCCCACAUAACCCCAAAAUCCAUCCCAUAAUAACCCCCAACCCAUCCCAUAAUUCCCCCCGCCCAUCCCAUAAUAGGCCGUUUCCCAUGAGCACCCAGGCCGAAGAAGAGCGGGCAGGCCAGCACGGCGUAUCGCGGCCCGGCGCAGGGCAGCAGGACGGGCAGCAUGCAGGCGCGGAACACGAGCUCCUCCGACAGCGGCGCCACCACGUGGUUCCGCAGCCAGCGCACGUCGCGCAGCCACGGCAGCGCCCGGCGCGGGGCUGGGGGGGAGUCAGAGCCUGGGGCCCAGGGUGCGGGACGGACCCACGGAUCGACCCACGGAUGGGGGAGGGACCCACAGAUGGACCCACAGAUGGACCCAUAGAUGGACCCAUAGAUGGGGGGAUGGACCCACAGAUGGGGGAUGGACCCAUAGAUGGACCCAUAGAUGGGGGGAUGGACCCACAGAUCGACCCAUAGAUUGACCCACAGAUGGACCCAUAGAUGGACCCAUAGAUGGACCCACAGAUGGACCCAUAGAUGGGGGGAUGGACCCAUAGAUGGACCCAUAGGUUGGGGCAGGGACCCAUAGAUGGACCCACAGAUGGGGGAUGGACCCAUAGAUGGACCCAUAGAUCGACCCACAGAUGGGGGAUGGACCCAUAGAUUGACCCAUGAUGGACCCAUAGGUUGGGGGGAUGGACCCACAGAUGGACCCAUAGAUUGACCCAUAGAUGGACCCAUAGGUUGGGGGGUGGACCCAGAGAUGGACCCCUAGAUGGGGGGAUGGACCCAUAGAUUGACCCAUAGAUUGAGCCAUAGAUGGGGGGAUGGACCCACAGAUUGACCCACAGAUUUGGGGGGAUGGACCCACAGACUGACCCACAGACUGACCCUUCCGCCCCACAGCCCGACCCACAAUUGGAUGACUGACCCACACAUCCACCGCUCUGCCCCACACACGGACCCCUGACCCACAGAUCGCCCCCCCGCUGCCCCCCCGACCCCCAGCCCCACAGAAACCCCAUAGAAACCCCCCCUUACCCAGCAGCCCCCGCAGCCCCUCCAUGCAUCGCCAUGGGCAGUCCAUGCACAGCUGCAUCAGCGGCCCCAAAAACAGCACCUGUGGGGCGGGGGGGGUUUAGGGGAAGGGUUACGGCCCCCCCAAAACCCCACAGAACCCCAUAAAGCCCAGAGAACCCCAUAGAAUCUCCCCGGCCCUAUAAAAACCUCAUAGCAUCCCAUAGAGCCACAUAAAACUCCAUAGGAUCCUAUAGAGCCCAUAAAACCCCAUAGGAUCCCAUAGAGCCCCAUAGAAACCCCAUAGGAUCCUACAGAGCCCCAUAAAACCCCAUAGGAUCCCACAGAGCCCCAAAAAACCCAAUAGGAUCUCAUAGAGCCCCAUAAAACCCCAUAGGAUCCCACAGAGCCCCAAAAAACCCAAUAGCAUCCCAUAGAGCCCCAUAAAACCCCAUAGGAU
rnacentral:lncRNA from 1 species